rnacentral:rRNA from 1 species
CGGCGGACGGGUGAGUAACGCGUGGGUAACCUGCCUCAUACAGGGGGAUAACAGUUAGAAAUGACUGCUAAUACCGCAUAAGACCACAGCACCGCAUGGUGCGGGGGUAAAAACUCCGGUGGUAUGAGAUGGACCCGCGUCUGAUUAGCUAGUUGGUAAGGUAACGGCUUACCAAGGCGACGAUCAGUAGCCGACCUGAGAGGGUGACCGGCCACAUUGGGGCUGAGACACGGCCCAA